rnacentral:lncRNA from 10 species
UCCCAAUGGCUACUUUCUACUGCACUUGACAGUUGUCUAAUCAUGUACAAAUCUAUGAGCACAUUUGUGUCUCUCAAGCUGGUUUUACCAAGAAUCUUUAAAUCCAACUGCUGACAUUUACUAAGCACUUGGACUUUAAAACAAACCCCAGGAGGCAGGGAAAAUGCCAAAAGUUUCCCUACAGCUCACUAAAGGGAAGCAAAAAUAAAUUAGAAAAAAAAAAUUAAAAAGGAAGUUGUCAUUCAAAGUUGUCAUUCUCACAAAUGUCAGCUGGUGGAACUGCUACACACAAAUUACACUGUUAACUCCUCACCGUCAGCCUCCGAGACCAUGAUCAUUCUCCCUCCUGAAACAAUGAAAGCAUGGCUUUGAGAAGAGGCGUACCACCUGAGGUUCUGUGGCCAGGACAUGGCAGACUGGGACUAGAGCUGGACAUUUUGCCCCAAGGUGAUGGAUCCCAUCCUGAGCCUUAUACACUUGAGGAAUUUUCUCUACCUUCCUCACACAGAAGCCACUUGCUCACUUGUGUUCCAUCUUGUGUGCUUGAGCUGACAUGUGCAUACACCACCUGUUAUGGGCUGAAGUGUGUCCCUGCCCCAAAUUUAGAUGUUGAAGUCCUCACUCUCAGCACCUUAGAACCUAACCAUGUUUGAAGAAAAAAUCUUCUGAGAGGUAAUUAAGCUACAAUGAAGGCUUCAGGGUGGGCCUUAAUCCAAUGUGACUGGUGUGCUUAUAAGAAGAGGAAAUUUGGACCCAUGGAAAGACAACAGAAGCAUACACAGACAGAGGGACACCGCGUGAAGACACUGUGAAAAGGUGGCCAUCUGCAAGCCAUGGGGAGAAGCCUUGAGAGAAACUAGCCCUGCC